GAAAUGCGAUAAGUAAUGUGAAUUGCAGAAUUCAGUGAAUCAUCGAAUCUUUGAACGCACCUUGCGCUCCUUGGUAUUCCUUGGAGCAUGCCUGUUUGAGUAUCAUGAAAUCUUCAAAGUAAAUCUUUUGUUAACUCAAUUGGUUUCUACUUUGGUAUUGGAGGUCUUUGCAGCUUCACACCUGCUCCUCUUUGUUCAUUAGCUGGAUCUCAGUGUUAUGCUUGGUUCCACUCGGCGUGAUAAGUUAUCUAUCGCUGAGGACACUGUAAAAGGUGGCCAAGGUAAAUGCAGAUGAACCGCUUCUAAUAGUCCAUUACUUGGACAAUACUUUUAUGAUCUGAUCUCAAAUCAGGUAGGACUACCCGCUGAACUUAAGC
rnacentral:misc_RNA from 1 species